rnacentral:rRNA from 1 species
AUUGAACGCUGGCGGAAUGCUUUACACAUGCAAGUCAAACGGCAGCACGGGGCAACCUGGUGGCGAGUGGCGAACGGGUGAGUAAUACAUCGGAACGUGCCCAAUCGUGGGGGAUAACGUAGCGAAAGUUACGCUAAUACCGCAUACGAUCUACGGAUGAAAGCGGGGGAUCGCAAGACCUCGCGCGAAUGGAGCGGCCGAUGUCAGAUUAGGUAGUUGGUGGGGUAAAGGCUCACCAAGCCAACGAUCUGUAGCUGGUCUGAGAGGACGACCAGCCACACUGGGACUGAGACACGGCCCAGACUCCUACGGGAGGCAGCAGUGGGGAAUUUUGGACAAUGGGCGCAAGCCUGAUCCAGCCAUUCCGCGUGCAGGAUGAAGGCCUUCGGGUUGUAAACUGCUUUUGUACGGAACGAAACGGCUCUCUCUAAUACAGGGGGCUAAUGACGGUACCGUAAGAAUAAGCACCGGCUAACUACGUGCCAGCCGCCGCGGUAAAGC